CCGAUUCUAAAGGAUGUGCUGGCCUCACAAGGCAAAAAUACAUGUGCACUCCGAAACCUCUUACCCCUGUGCAUCCAUUGUAGUCCAGCAUCAAGGAAGAGUUUAAUUCUUCUGCUGUGACUAUGUUUUUAUACACUCUUAGAAUUUUAUAGAAUGUCCAUAGACCCUAACAAGUCUAAUAAACAUAAUA
rnacentral:misc_RNA from 1 species